UGGCUCGCUAUGGUGGCGUACCCCGAAAGGGCGCGGCGUUGUUUGAAACGCAGGACACCUAAAGCGGGCUUUU
rnacentral:sRNA from 12 species